UAAGCCCACACUCUUCGCCUCACAAG
rnacentral:misc_RNA from 1 species